CUUUCUGGGCGGUGUGUUAGACCCAGGAGCACAGCCAGGAACCACAGGAGACCAGUUCCCUCAGGCAAGGAGAGAGCAAGAACCAGUGUGCUUUCCUCUAUAAUUAUUACAAUGUUUCCACAGCCACCAGCUGAAUACCAAUACCCAGCGCAACUUUGGAAGUAGUCACACAUUGAAGAUGGCAGACAAUCUGUAGCCUGGGUUCCUGAACGAAUGC